rnacentral:rRNA from 1 species
GGCGGAAUGCUUUACACAUGCAAGUCGAGCGGCAGCGCGGGGCAACCUGGCGGCGAGCGGCGAACGGGUGAGUAAUGCAUCGGAACAUGCCCAGUCGUGGGGGAUAACCUGGCGAAAGCCAGGCUAAUACCGCAUGCGCUCGAGAGAGGAAAGCGGGGGACUCUGCAAAGGGCCUCGCGCGAUUGGGUUGGCCGAUGUCCGAUUAGCUAGUUGGCGGGGUAAUGGCCCACCAAGGCGAUGAUCGGUAGCUGGUCUGAGAGGAUGAUCAGCCACACUGGGACUGAGACACGGCCCAGACUCCUACGGGAGGCAGCAGUGGGGAAUUUUGGACAAUGGGGGCAACCCUGAUCCAGCCAUUCCGCGUGAGUGAAGAAGGCCUUCGGGUUGUAAAGUACUUUUGGCAGAGAAGAAAAGGUAUCUCCUAAUACGAGAUACUGCUGACGGUAUCUGCAGAAGAAGCACCGGCUAACUACGUGCCAGCAGCCGCGGUAAUACGUAGGGUGCGAGCGUUAAUCGGAAUUACUGGGCGUAAAGCGUGCGCAGGCGGCGGCCCAAGUCAGGUGUGAAAUCCCCGGGCUUAACCUGGGAAUUGCGCUUGAAACUAGGUCGCUAGAGUGUGGCAGAGGGGGGUGGAAUUCCACGUGUAGCAGUGAAAUGCGUAGAGAUGUGGAGGAACACCGAUGGCGAAGGCAGCCCCCUGGGUCAACACUGACGCUCAGGCACGAAA